GUGAAAUGCGUAGAUACCGGAAGGAACACCAGUGGCGAAAGCGAUCCGCUGGCCCGAUCUUGACGCUCAGGUGCGAAAGCUAGGGGAGCGACCGGGAUUAGAUACCCCGUUAGUCCUAGCCGUAAACGAUGGGCACUAGGUGUUGUCGGUAUCGACCCCGGCAGUGCCGUAGCUAACGCAUUAAGUGCCCCGCCUGGGGAGUACGGCCGCAAGGCUAAAACUCAAAGGAAUUGACGGGGGCCCGCACAAGCAGCGGAGCGUGCGGUUCAAUUCGAUGGUACGCGAAGAACCUUACCCAGGCUUUACAUGCAGGUGGUAGCGACCCGAAAGGGAAGCGACCCGCAAGGGAGCCUGCAAUGGUGUUGCACGGCUGUCGUCAGCUCGUGUCGUGAGAUGUUGGGUUAAGUCCCGCAACGAGCGCAACCCUCGCGGCCUGUUGUAUCCCUCAGGCCGGACUGCCGAGAGAAACUCGGAGGAAGGUGGGGAUGACGUCAAGUCCGCGUGGCCCUUAUGCCUGGGGCUACACGCACGCUACAAUCGUCGGUCACAGCGGGUCGCAACUGCGCGAGCAGGAGCUAAUCCCUUAAAACCGGCGUCAGUUCAGAUCGGAGGCUGAAACUCGCCUCCGUGAAGUCGGAGUUGCUAGUAACCGCGGGUCAGCACACCGCGGUGAAUAUGUUCCCGGGCCUUGUACACACCGCCCGUCAAGUGAUGGGAGUCGGAAGCACCCGAAGCCGGUGGGCCAACCGCAAGGAGGCAGCCGUCGAAGGUGAGGCCGGCGACUGGCACUAAGUCGUAACAAGGUAACCGU
rnacentral:rRNA from 1 species